GGGUGCGUAGCUCAGUUGGUUAGAGCAUCUGACUUUUAAUCAGAGGGUCGCAGGUUCGAGACCUGCCGCGCCCA
rnacentral:tRNA from 1 species